GAAUACGUCACACAAUAUUCAAUCCGGAGAAGUAUCUGUGGACUUAACUUUAAUCUACCGCAAGAAUGCAACAUAACAGUCUGAAUUGGGAAAACAAGUCGCUCAAAAUUGCAUAAAUAAGAUUGUAAACACCAGCCUACUGCGAGGGGCUCAAAUACUGCCCUUUGUCAAAGCUAAUGUCAGUGACUGGGUUCAAGAUUUUAAAUAUUACAAAUACUGCGUGGAGGCAACUGUUUCUGCAAUAUUUCGAGACCUACAAUACCUGCAUGGAGAUCAUCAUUGUGCGAGAAAAAAGUUGGACGGUAUUUGGUAAAGAAGAUGAAGCAAAGUGUGUAAUUUUAGGCAGCCAUAUGGUGCCAUUACGUUUGAAAUAAGGUGUGGCUAAAAAUGUAUAUUUAAAUUACCACUAAAUAAAAAAAAGAGAUUAUAUAUGAAAUAAAUCCAAAAUAUUAUCAUCAAAA